rnacentral:ncRNA from 1 species
AUGACGCAAUGUGAUUUCUGCCCAGUGCUCUGAAUGUCAAAGUGAAGAAAUUCAACCAAGCGCGAGUAAAUGGCGGGAGUAACUAUGACUCUCUUGUACCAAUGAUUUUGUCAACCCUACAGUAUACAUAUAAUGCAUGUGACUUCCUUUUCAUGAAAUGAAAAA